rnacentral:lncRNA from 1 species
UUCUUUUUGAAAAACAAUUAUUACACACAUUCGCGAAAGAUAAAUUGUUAAAAAAUUUAUAUUAAUAUUAUUUAACCGCAGUAAUUUCCCUUUAACACACAGCAGUUUAUAUUAUUAUUCAUAAUAAUUACAAUCCCAAGUAUCUAUUUUAAUUUUACAGCAUUUUUUGUGUCUAAUCUAUUAAAUUAUUAUUUUAAAACUGUCACUUUAAGCGGUACCUUCCGUUUCACCAUAUAUCUUUUACAAUUCAAAAUUCAGUAAAAGGCUAUGAUCACUUUCCAAAUUCUCCAUUGUGUAAUCAGAAAUAACUGUUCUGCGCGAAAGGAGAGUAUAGUGAUACUCAUGUGACUCCGGCUUUUCUCGUGAGAAUCCCCGUUGGCGUCACUACGUCUCGACGAACAACACAAGAAAAUAAAGAACAGCACCUAUUCAAGCAGGAGCGAUAAAAGUGGUUGAGCAAACGGGUGAGAUCUCGCCGCCUUCCGGGGUGCGGAAACGACUGCGGACUUUCGACGGAGCCUGAACUCGUAAAGGAGAAUAAUCAAAACGGGAGAAAAAUCUUAAUCCCGCAUACCGCACGUCGUGUCCCGUUCGCAAAUCGUAAUUCUUCUACGAUAUUAAACGACGAGAAAACCGAAGGAAAAACUUGGCGCUACCGCGCUUGCGUGAUUCUAUUAUUUUCCCAUGCAAAAAGGGAUUGCGACCAUAACAAAAAAAUUACGUAAAAGGGAAAAUAUUUAAUUCCAGAAAGUUGAUUCAAAAUAGUCAUUGUAUUCAACAGAUAAUUAUAUCAUGGAGACGAAAAACAAAUUAGAGACAAAUAAAUAACAAAAACUAAAUCUCAUUCCCACGAAGAGAAAGAAAAAUAUUAGGGACAAAAAAUUGCAACAAAAUUUGUGAUUUAUUUUACAAAUAAUAUAUUUUUUCUUUUAUGUAGAAAAACCUCUCCUUUUUUUGGUGCUGUAUUAUAAAAUUUUAUCGGUACACUCUUCGCGAAAAUAAAAGGGCAAACGUCCUACGUCUUUUGCCUUGAAAGUCACACGACGAUAUUGGUUGCUUCAAUCGCGUGAUAUUAAUAGAACCCAGUGGGACUAUCAAGGAUUGAAGCGACGGCGUUGCUAAUAACACAACCCAGCGGGAUAUCUAUUAUCUCGUUAUAACGAGUCGGACUAUCAAGCUAUCAGAAGAUUAAGCGUGGCACGCGCGCGCACGCACAGGAUACUUUCUUCCUCUGAUAAAAGUUUCCGUCCUAAAACACAUCCUGCUACGACACGGGAAUAGCACGCGGAAUUCCCCUGUUUCGCGAUAGAAGCGAUAGAACUCUAAAUAAGACUUUAAUCGCGCGAAGCGACGAGCAACUAUCGCGAGAUACCAAACGAAUCGCGGGAUUCCCGGAAUUACGUAUGAGCUUAGAUCAAGAGCUUUCAACAUGGGGCAUGUGGUUCCUCGGGGAGGGGCUGAAUAUUUUAAGGAGUCAUUUCCUAAGUGGGCCACUUCACUUCCCCAAUUAAUAGCUGUGUGAAUCAUGGGCGAGAGAGAAAUGGGAAUAAUAUUUAUGAUCUACGAUAGGAUCUUUCCUCGACACGUCUGAUUAGAAAAUAAUGCAUUACGAGUGGUAGUAGUCAUGCAAAAUAAUUACAUAGUAGAUAUGUAUAUCGAUUGUAAAUUAUAAAUAUACAGCAAGAGAAGGAGAAGUAAUAAAUGAAAUUCAGAUUAGGAGUACGAGAAAAAAGAAAUUGAAGGGAGUCACUGUUCCAGACAGUGGGGGAUUUUUCGCAAUAGCGGGUCUCGGUUACCGUAAGCGCCCUAAUGUGGCGUCAAAUCGCGUGUACGGCGAACAAUAACGUAGACCGAGAUAAAAAUCGCCACGGCAAUUCACAGUCGGAUAGAAUUGCAGUGUGAUUUAUUAUAAUUUUGCGCGUUCGUGUAAAAUACACGACUGGGUGGUACACGAUAUGCGGUAAUCGCAAAUUUGCGCGUCCUCGCCAGCGACAUGUGACGAAAGUGCAAGUGAAAGACGCGACGCGAGGAGGAGGUACUUCAUUUUCCGUCGUCGAGCGUAAAUAAAACUCGCUUCCAUAAAACGUCAGGUUUAUAAGGCGGCCAUUCACGCGUCAGCGAGCAGCUGUUUUGGUAUAUUUUAUUUCGAACGUCGCUCUACGAGAACAUUCAUGUUUUCAUACAAUUACACGCUCGAAGAAGUUUAAUUUCAAUUUUACCUAAAAAUAAGCCAUCGCGGUAACUCAAUUAAAAAUUGAUCAAACGCUGAUAUUUUUCAUAAAUAAUGUGUUCACAUAAAAAUAUUACUGAAAUUAAAAUUGUUAAUUACAUCUCUGAAAUCUGUUUUCGGAGACUGUGCAAUUAAUAACAUAUAAGUAAUCUAAGAUUAAAAUGUAUAAAAAAGAAUUUUCAUGCGUAAUUAAAAAUACUCUUUUGCCAUCUUCAAUAAUCUUCCAAAAAUUCUACAUAUAUAUGUAUAUAACGUACGUUCUAUACAUAGAAAAAAAUAUCAUUCUCGUACUUUUAAAGUUUUGAUUUUUUCUUUUAAGUAGUGGUUAUCUUUAACAAAACCAUUUUCUUGAUAACAGUCUUAAAAUACAUUUAUCAUUUUACUUUCAAACAAGUAGUAUUUGCUCAAGAUGUUCUGCAUAUAUACACAGAAAAAUACAUACUGUAAAAUAUUUACUUUAAUUAAGUAAAUAUUAUUUAUUUCAAAUAUUUCAUAAGUUUAUAUGUACAUCCGCAAAUUUAUCACAAGUUCAUCAAAUUUCAAAAAAUUCCAAAUUAUAUUCCAAGUCCUAAUUUAAUAAUUCAGUCAAGAAUAUUAAGUUAAAACCAAAUCUCUAUUAGGUUUAUUAUUCCGACUUUUUCUGAUAUAAUCUUAUAUUAUUCUUCGAAAGAAUGUAAAUUCUUUUUUAAAUUUAUGACAAGUAUAUAUCUUAAGACAAUUAUCAAGAAAAUAUUCUUUGUUGAAGACAACUAUUACUUACUUAAACAAAAAACAAGAAAAUUAAAUAAUCGCAUUUCUUAGCAGUAGAAUUAAUUAUGCUUCUACGAGUAUAGACAAUUUUUAUGUAAUACGAAACUUGUGAUUAAUUUAGAUAUUGCCGGUUUAUUCAUCAAUUUCGCGCAAAGGAGUUUUCCAAGAAAAAUCAGGAAUUACGUAAAUGCAAAUCGCGCGCAAACGCGCGACGUUCCGUUUAAUCCUUUCCCUUUCCAUUGCCGCGCGCGCACGGAGCGAAUUUAUCUCUGCAUCGCGCAACCCUCUGAUUAAUGUUCCCCGCGGUACAAUGAUAUCGGAUACGAAACGAUAACGUCGCGUUACACACACGGGCGAGGUGCGCGCGCGGCGGGCACGGUGAAAGCUCCUACGAGGCGUAAUGCGGCGUGCCCGCGUGCGUAAUGAUAAAUUCACCGGCCGAGGAAAGCAAGGCGCGCAACGGCUCUCGGCGCGCGAAGUCGAUUUACCGCUAUACAAAUAGACCGAGAAAUAAGUAUGAUUUCGCUAAUAUCGGUGCGCGCUGAGUGGGCAAUUAGCAUCCGCUACAGGACACGCGACACGACACGACGAAUCGACUGAGCGCAAGUAGAAUUUCACCGUUAAGGCGCGCGCGGAAUUCCAGAGAGUUUAUACAUACGACACGGUAACAUCCGGUAAUUAUCGAAUGACACGUGACUUGCGCAGCGGAGAGAAUCGGGAAUAUAGAUUUUGUAGGAAAGCAUUUCAGCUGCGCAAGACGUUAUUUAUUACGCCUUUAAGUACCUAUAAUAAUGGACAAUAUGUGGUGUAAAAUAUUGGAAUAGCCAUUCAACUGUUACGGCAAACACACCCCAAGUGCACUCGCCAAAACGAUCAUGCACGCGUUCACGGGGAAAAAAAAUAAAGCUCAUAUCGAAAAGAGGAGAAAAAGGGAUCCAAUAUGUAUGGAGGAGCACUCAUGCAAGAAGAGCACUGUAACAGCGAAUCCCGUCGUAUAAUUAUAAUGAAAAAUUUUUGCAAUAACAAUUGCUAUUCCCGGUUGUAAUUCCAAAUAGAAUAAAAGAGUGAGUAAAAAAAAUGCCCCUUCGUAAGUGCAGGAGAAAUAAUUGAUCAGCGUUACGCUUAACUUGAAAUUAUCUAUACAAAUAAAGAUAAGAUAAAUGAUAUAUAAACGUAUCUUAGAUAAGAUGAAGUUGACAUAAAUUUAAACUUAUUUAAAUAAUGGAUCAAAUUAUGUAUCUCUAUCUGAAUAAUAUUAAGAUAAUAUGUUGAGCAAACUAAUUUAGAAUAUAAAAACAAUAUAUUCGUAUUUUUUUCUAAAUCUUUUUUCCUAAUAAAAACAAAAAUUCUUGAAAUAAUUUAAUGUCAAUAGAAAAUUCCUCUUUUUAUUUGGAUCAAUACGCAAAUAAAGAUCAAAGUUAAAAAAUAUAGAAGGAACAUAUAGCUUACAUUAUAACAAGACUGAGUCAAAGUUUUCCUGUAAAAGUUUUCGACCUAGUUUUCACGCAAUUUUUCUAUUGCACUACUAUUUUCUGAUUUAUGCAAUCUGUUGCUAUCCUCCUGUUGGAAUAAAUGACGAGUUUGAAGUUAAAUAUACUUAAUUCUCAAUAUUGCUCACAAUAACUUAAAUCACUUGAAAAAGAUAACGCUUCUUUUAUUUAAAUACUCUAAUAAUUCAGACAAAAUCAUUUCUUCAUCUAGAUAAUUUUAUAACGGCCAACCCCGUUGAUGAUGCUCCAUAUAGCAAAGAGCACGAAUUCUACAUGAAUCCCAUCAAUGUGCAAAAUCUCGUAUAUGAAAACUAUUAAAAUUAUCAGCACAUAUCUGGAAAUACGAAUUCCAUAAAAUAUAAAUUCUAUACAAAUAAGAAAUUAGAAGUUAGAAGAGCGUAUAGAAAGCUAAUUAAAAAAAAUAACAAGUGCAAAUUGCAUGUAUCAAAGCUGCGAUCUUAGGCGGACUUUCGCGAAGUUAAUGAAAUUCAAUUAAUAAAAAGUAAUUAGACCCAGCUAAUCGGAGGUCGUUUGAGAUUAAGAUCAAGAAGUUUGCGCGGCGUUUAACGUAUUAAGGAAGUUGCAGCACGGUUCCGUGAGAAACGCAGCUUCUACCAUGCUCGCCGCCAAUUCGCGGUCACCAAUCUCUCACCAGACCUCCCUCCCUCCCUCCCUCCCUCCCUCUCUCUCUCUCUCUCUCUCUCUCGCCUUCUGUCUCCCUCUUUCUCUCCUGUAUGCGAUAUUUAUCCCACAAGGAUGCACGGUGACGCGUGCAAUUUCCGAUGGAAGCGAGAGCUCACCGCCAACGUGAUUUAAAGGUUAAGCCGAGGUUGGCCGCGCACGCGGUCGGCCAAUCGACCGUAAGGGCUCCGUGGUUAAACUUAAAUCAGACCUGCAUUUAAGCCGGCCUCGAUCGAGCGCUCGUUACAUUCAAUUCUCGUCCGUGCAUCUAAAGGGCCGAUUAGGACACUCAAAGCGCCCACUGACAGUUUCGAUCCUGUCCAGCCUUAUUUGUCAACGACGGUUUAUCAGCAGCACGCGCGAAAUACAGAUUGAGGCGUCGGAAAAUUAAUCGAGAAAAUAUCGAACACAGCAUUUACAAUGCUCCAUUUACGCGAUUAAAUGCCCCGUGAAUUAUCGGCCAAGUUCGAAUGCACAUAAAUUAUGGUUAACGUAAUGCAAGAAAGCCGUGUCAGUCUCAGGCACGAAUGUCGAGGAUAAAACGAGCCUUCCUAGGACGAAGGUUUUCCAUUUCGGAUAUUAGCCGGUUACGCCCUUCGGAUAGGAAAACAAAGCCUACUUCGAAAGGGUCCUUCCCUUAUUUUCCUUCAGAUUGCUAAGCGUUGUGGAUUGCAAUUUAUAAUUAGAAUAUUUGAGCGACAAAAUCGCAGCGGCUGUGGACUUUGCAUAAUUUUAACGAUCACGUGAAACAUGAUAAAUAAAUAAUAAUCGACUCGAAAUAAUCUAGAUUCUAGUCAAUCAUUAUCAUGCAGUGACAUGAAGUGAACACAAAUAAUAAACGCGUUUUUGAAGCCAUCAAAUUGAAAAAAAAAACUCCAAUGGAUUUCGUUUUAAGAUCAUCGCAUUAAAAAUCUGCUAUCUUAAAUAUUUUAUCGCACAUCAUAUAAUCAUGUCUCCAAUUUUCUCACGAAAGUCUUCUUUUGCUACGAUAAUUAUCGCGACUAAUAAGAAUUUCUUUUCAAAACGACUCUGCUCGAUAAAAAUUUGUUAACCAAAUAUUUCAUUUCGUGUAAUCAUCUUAAAUUUUCUCAGAACAGUCGUUUUGUUCUUUUUCCACCGCUGUCUCGAUAAUCAUCGUAAUUAAAAAAUGUCCUUUUAUAAGAAUGACAGCUGGAGAUAAGAGUCUAAUAAAUAUUUUUUUCACUUUA